UUAGUGGCAGACGGGUGAGUAAUGCAUAGGAAUCUACCUAGUAGUAUGGGAUAGCCACUGGAAAUGGUGGGUAAUACCGUAUAAUCCCCGCGGGGGAAAGAUUUAUCGCUAUUAGAUGAGCCUAUGUCGGAUUAGCUAGUUGGUGGGGUAAUGGCCUACCAAGGCAGUGAUCUGUAGCUGGUCUGAGAGGAUGAUCAGCCACACUGGAACUGAGACACGGUCCAGACUCCUACGGGAGGCAGCAGUGGGGAAUAUUGGACAAUGGGCGCAAGCCUGAUCCAGCUAUGCCGCGUGAGUGAGGAAGGCCUUAGGGUUGUAAAACUCUUUCAGUAGGGAAGAUAAUGACGGUACCUA
rnacentral:rRNA from 1 species